AUUGAACGCUGGCGGCAUGCUUUACACAUGCAAGUCGAACGGUAACAGGUCUAGCUUGCUAGAUGCUGACGAGUGGCGGACGGGUGAGUAACGCGUGGGAAUCUGCCUUCUAGUGGGGGAUAGCCCGGAGAAAUCCGGAUUAAUACCGCAUACGCCCUACGGGGGAAAGCCGGGGAUCUUCGGACCUGGCGCUAGUAGAUGAGCCCGCGUGAGAUUAGCUUGUUGGUGGGGUAAUGGCCUACCAAGGCAACGAUCUCUAGCUGGUCUGAGAGGACGAUCAGCCACACUGGGACUGAGACACGGCCCAGACUCCUACGGGAGGCAGCAGUGGGGAAUAUUGGACAAUGGGCGAAAGCCUGAUCCAGCAAUGCCGCGUGUGUGAAGAAGGCCUGAGGGUUGUAAAGCACUUUCAAUCGUGAAGAAAAGUUAGCAGGCUAAUACCCUCGUGACCUUGACGUUAACGAUACAAGAAGCACCGGCUAACUCCGUG
rnacentral:rRNA from 1 species